rnacentral:rRNA from 1 species
AUUGAACGCUGGCGGCAGGCCUAACACAUGCAAGUCGAACGAGUGGCGGACGGGUGAGUAAUGUCUGGGAAACUGCCUGAUGGAGGGGGAUAACUACUGGAAACGGUAGCUAAUACCGCAUACCAUCGGAUGUGCCCAGAUGGGAUUAGCUAGUAGGUGGGGUAAAGGCUCACCUAGGCGACGAUCCCUAGCUGGUCUGCGAGGAUGACCGGCAACACUGGAACUGGGACCAGGUCCAGACUCCUAGGGGAGGCAGAAGUGGGGAAUAUUGCAAAAUGGGCGCAAGCCUGAUGAAGACAUGCCGCGUGUAUGAAGAGGGCCUUCGGGUUGUAAAGUACUUUCAGCGGGGAGGCGUUACCCGCAGAAGAAGCACCGGCUAACUCCGUGCCAGCCGCCGCGGUAAUUC